ACUGCUCAGCAACACGUGGAUAACCUGCCCUUGGGUCCGGCAUAACUCCGGGAAACUGGAGAUAAUUCCGGAUAACGCAUAUAUGCUGGAAUGCUUUAUGCGUAAAAUGGAUUCGUCUGCCCAGGGAUGGGUCUGCGGCCUAUCAGGUAGUAGUGGGUGUAAUGUACCUACUAGCCUACGACGGGUACGGGUUGUGAGAGCAAGAGCCCGGAGAUGGAUUCUGAGACAUGAAUCCAGGCCCUACGGGGCGCAGCAGGCGCGAAAACUUUACAAUGCGGGAAACCGUGAUAAGGGGACACCGAGUGCCAGCAUCAUAUGCUGGCUGUCCAGGUGUGUAAAAUACACCUGUUAGCAAGGGCCGGGCAAGACCGGUGCCAGCCGCCGCGGUAACACCGGCGGCCCGAGUGGUGAUCGUGAUUAUUGGGUCUAAAGGGUCCGUAGCCGGUUUGGUCAGUCCUCCGGGAAAUCUGAUAGCUUAACUAUUAGGCUUUCGGAGGAUACUGCCAGACUUGGAACCGGGAGAGGUAAGAGGUACUACAGGGGUAGGAGUGAAAUCUUGUAAUCCCUGUGGGACCACCUGUGGCGAAGGCGUCUUACCAGAACGGGUUCGACGGUGAGGGACGAAAGCUGGGGGCACGAACCGGAUUAGAUACCCGGGUAGUCCCAGCCGUAAACGAUGCUCGCUAGGUGUCAGGCAUGGCGCGACCGUGUCUGGUGCCGCAGGGAAGCCGUGAAGCGAGCCACCUGGGAAGUACGGCCGCAAGGCUGAAACUUAAAGGAAUUGGCGGGGGAGCAC
rnacentral:rRNA from 1 species